CCUUUCCGCAGCCCUACACAUGCAAGUCGAGCGGAAACGAGUUGUCUGAACCUUCGGGGAACGAUAACGGCGUCGAGCGGCGGACGGGUGAGUAAUGCCUAGGAAAUUGCCCUGAUGUGGGGGAUAACCAUUGGAAACGAUGGCUAAUACCGCAUGAUGCCUACGGGCCAAAGAGGGGGACCUUCGGGCCUCUCGCGUCAGGAUAUGCCUAGGUGGGAUUAGCUAGUUGGUGAGGUAAGGGCUCACCAAGGCGACGAUCCCUAGCUGGUCUGAGAGGAUGAUCAGCCACACUGGAACUGAGACACGGUCCAGACUCCUACGGGAGGCAGCAGUGGGGAAUAUUGCACAAUGGGCGCAAGCCUGAUGCAGCCAUGCCGCGUGUGUGAAGAAGGCCUUCGGGUUGUAAAGCACUUUCAGUCGUGAGGAAGGUAGUGUAGUUAAUAGCUGCAUUAUUUGACGUUAGCGACAGAAGAAGCACCGGCUAACUCCGUGCCAGCAGCCGCGGUAAUACGGAGGGUGCGAGCGUUAAUCGGAAUUACUGGGCGUAAAGCGCAUGCAGGUGGUUUGUUAAGUCAGAUGUGAAAGCCCGGGGCUCAACCUCGGAAUAGCAUUUGAAACUGGCAGACUAGAGUACUGUAGAGGGGGGUAGAAUUUCAGGUGUAGCGGUGAAAUGCGUAGAGAUCUGAAGGAAUACCGGUGGCGAAGGCGGCCCCCUGGACAGAUACUGACACUCAGAUGCGAAAGCGUGGGGAGCRAACAGGAUUAGAUACCYUGGUAGUCCACKCCGUAAACGAUGUCUACUUGGAGGUUGUGGCCUUGAGCCGUGGCUUUCGGAGCUAACGCGUUAAGUAGACCGCCUGGGGAGUACGGUCGCAAGAUUAAAACUCAAAUGAAUUGACGGGGGCCCGCACAAGCGGUGGAGCAUGUGGUUUAAUUCGAUGCAACGCGAAGAACCUUACCUACUCUUGACAUCCAGAGAACUUUCCAGAGAUGGAUUGGUGCCUUCGGGAACUCUGAGACAGGUUAUGCAUGGCUGUCGUCAGCUCGUGUUGUGAAAUGUUGGGUUAAGUCCCGCAACGAGCGCAACCCUUAUCCUUGUUUGCCAGCGAGUAAUGUCGGGAACUCCAGGGAGACUGCCGGUGAUAAACCGGAGGAAGGUGGGGACGACGUCAAGUCAUCAUGGCCCUUACGAGUAGGGCUACACACGUGCUACAAUGGCGCAUACAGAGGGCGGCCAACUUGCGAAAGUGAGCGAAUCCCAAAAAGUGCGUCGUAGUCCGGAUUGGAGUCUGCAACUCGACUCCAUGAAGUCGGAAUCGCUAGUAAUCGUGGAUCAGAAUGCCACGGUGAAUACGUUCCCGGGCCUUGUACACACCGCCCGUCACACCAUGGGAGUGGGCUGCAAAAGAAGUAGGUAGUUUAACCUUCGGGGGGAUGCUUACCACUUGGGGUGA
rnacentral:rRNA from 1 species